UACGUAGGGUGCGAGCGUUAAUCGGAAUUACUGGGCGUAAAGCGUGCGCAGGCGGUCCGCUAAGACAGAUGUGAAAUCCCCGGGCUUAACCUGGGAACUGCAUUUGUGACUGGCGGGCUAGAGUAUGGCAGAGGGGGGUAGAAUUCCACGUGUAGCAGUGAAAUGCGUAGAGAUGUGGAGGAAUACCGAUGGCGAAGGCAGCCCCCUGGGCCAAUACUGACGCUCAUGCACGAAAGCGUGGGGAGCAAACAGG
rnacentral:rRNA from 1 species